UGGGGAAUUUUGGACAAUGGGGGAAACCCUGAUCCAGCCAUCCCGCGUGUGCGAUGAAGGCCUUCGGGUUGUAAAGCACUUUUGGCAGGAAAGAAACGUCGCGGGUUAAUACCCCGCGAAACUGACGGUACCUGCAGAAUAAGCACCGGCUAACUACGUGCCAGCAGCCGCGGUAAUACGUAGGGUGCAAGCGUUAAUCGGAAUUACUGGGCGUAAAGCGUGCGCAGGCGGUUCGGAAAGAAAGAUGUGAAAUCCCAGAGCUUAACUUUGGAACUGCAUUUUUAACUACCGGGCUAGAGUGUGUCAGAGGGAGGUGGAAUUCCGCGUGUAGCAGUGAAAUGCGUAGAUAUGCGGAGGAACACCGAUGGCGAAGGCAGCCUCCUGGGCAUAACACUGACGCUCAUGCACGAAAGCGUGGGGAGCAAACAGGAUUAGAUACCCUGGUAGUCCACGCCCUAAACGAUGUCAACUAGCUGUUGGGGCCUUCGGGCCUUGGUAGCGCAGCUAACGCGUGAAGUUGACCGCCUGGGGAGU
rnacentral:rRNA from 1 species